rnacentral:rRNA from 1 species
UAGAGUUUGAUCCUGGCUCAGAUUGAACGCUGGCGGCAUGCCUUACACAUGCAAGUCGAACGGCAGCGCGGACUUCGGUCUGGCGGCGAGUGGCGAACGGGUGAGUAAUACAUCGGAACGUACCCUGUUGUGGGGGAUAACUAGUCGAAAGAUUAGCUAAUACCGCAUACGACCUGAGGGUGAAAGCGGGGGACCGCAAGGCCUCGCGCAGCAGGAGCGGCCGAUGUCUGAUUAGCUAGUUGGUGGGGUAAAGGCCCACCAAGGCGACGAUCAGUAGCUGGUCUGAGAGGACGAUCAGCCACACUGGGACUGAGACACGGCCCAGACUCCUACGGGAGGCAGCAGUGGGGAAUUUUGGACAAUGGGGGCAACCCUGAUCCAGCAAUGCCGCGUGUGUGAAGAAGGCCUUCGGGUUGUAAAGCACUUUUGUCCGGAAAGAAAACGCUCUGGUUAAUACCUGGGGUGGAUGACGGUACCGGAAGAAUAAGCACCGGCUAACUACGUGCCAGCAGCCGCGGUAAUACGUAGGGUGCGAGCGUUAAUCGGAAUUACUGGGCGUAAAGCGUGCGCAGGCGGUUUUGUAAGACAGGCGUGAAAUCCCCGAGCUCAACUU